GCGCCGGUGGUCUAAUGGCAUGACUUCAGCCUUCCAAGCUGACUGUCCGGGUUCGAAUCCCGGCCGGCGCA
rnacentral:tRNA from 1 species